AAUACUUCAAGGAAUCUAUAGGGAAAUUAUUAAAUUUAAGAUAGUGUGAUGAUUAAUGUUGAGUGUCAACUUGAUUGGAUUGAAGGAUGCCAAGUAUUGUUCCUGGGUGUGUCUGUGAGCGUGUUGCCAGAGGAGAUUAACAUUUGAGUCAGUGGACUGGGAGAGGCAGAUCCACCCUCAAUCUGGGUGGACACCAUCUAAUCAGCUGCCAGCGUGGCUGGAAUAAAGCCGGCAGGAGAAGCUCGAAAGAACAGACUUGCUGAGUCUUCUGGGCUUCAUCUUUCUCCCAUGCUGGAUGCUUCGUGCCCUUGAACAUCAGACUCCAAGUUCUUCAGCUUUUGGAGUCUUUGACUCACACCAGUGAUCUGUCAGAAGCUCUCAGGCCUUCGGCCACAGACUGAAGGUGCACUGUCGGCUUCCCCACUUUUGAGGUUUUGGGGCAAACUGGCCUCCUGGCUCUUCAGCUUGCAGACAGCCUGUUGUGGGACUUCACCUUGUGAUCAUGUGAGUCAAUACUCCUUAAUGAACUCCCCUUCAUAUAUACGUCCAUCCUAUUUGUCCUGUCCCUCUAGAGAACCUUGACUAAUACAGAUAGUGUUCAGUAAGGACACUGAAUUCAAUGUUGUUUUCCGGAUACUACCAACAACUAUUAGAAAAUAAAAUGAAAAAAUCUUUGCCAUUUACAAUAGUGUUAGAUAGAUGAAAGGAACAGAAUGAAAUCCAGGAGUAGACCCACACGUAUGUGGACAUUUGAUUUUAAUGGUGGAGCAGGUACAGAUUUUUUUUUUCAACAAACAAUGCUGAAUCCUCUGAAUAUCCAUGUGGGAAAAAGUCAGCCUUGCCUCACCACAUAAACAAAUGCCAGCCACACAGUGAGCUUCAACAUGAAAGGCAAAAGGAAAAAAUUAAAGUUCUAUCCAUCAAGGACAAGAUUUGCAAGUUAGAUUGUGCUGUAAUUGAGAACUUCUGGUCAUCAAAGGAGACCACUAUGAGGGUAAAAUGCAAGCCACAGAGGGAGAGAAGGUAUUAGCGACACAAAUUGUGUACAUAUGGCUCACUGUGGAGAGUCUCUAUUGAAAGAGAGAGAUGCUAAAAUCUCAGUCCAGCUAUGGUGAUUGUUGCCAUUUUUUUUUUUUUUUUUUGGUGUUCUGCUAUCAAAAUCCACCAUGAUCUAUAGACAGGCUCAGAUGCGACAUCCCGAGUCUGCACCCUAGCUUUCCCUGUGCACCUUGCUAAGUUUGUGAGCAGGGCGCAGCUCCCUCGAUUAGGUGCAUGCAGACCCACCGCUGGAGUGGAGCUCUCCUAGGUGAUGGUGGCGCCUCCUGGGACCUCCUCUGUCCCCCUUUCUUUGAACACCUUCAAUGCAAUGCAUGAGGAAUGAAACCGCUGUUUGUUUGUAGAGCUCAGGUGCCAGAUCCUGGAACUCUGUGAAGGUUUAAGAUUGACGAGUGGAACCCCAGAGGGAACAAUGAAGGAAUUACCUGUGUCAAGCCCAUGAACAGCUUGCCUGUCCCCUGUUUUGUGAGAUCCAGAGAUGGCAUUCAAGAGGAGCACA
rnacentral:lncRNA from 10 species